rnacentral:lncRNA from 1 species
GUGCCUGAGUAAGCCCCAUGGGAACACAGCCGUGGUGGGAAGCAGCUUCCCAGCAGCCCUCCCCGCCAUCGGGAGAAUCCCCUGAGGCCAUGAGAGGGUCUCAGGGAGGUGGACGGCCCAUCAAGUGAGAACCGAGGGCACUGUGCACUCCUGAAUCCUAGGACUCCUCUUAGGUCAUUGACUAACAACAUCAACAAUGAAAUGAAUCUGAGAAAACAGGAAAUUGAGAGCAAGAGAAAAAAAAGUUAAUUAUACUGAUUUUGUAUAAGACCCCUUUGAACACAUUUUUAAAAAAUCAAAUAGAAGGUGCCCAGGUCCACUGUGCCUUGUGAAUAUUUGUCUUGUAUAUCCUAGAGAUCUACGCAUUCAUGUGGGAAUUGAAAAGGACCCACAUUUUACUAGAAGCAUCGUUCAUUUUUGCCUCAAAACAAUGCCCACAUGUCAGAAGAACUUUCACAAUUCACAGGAACAGUGACCUAAUUAACCAACCAUAAAAUUGCCAAAUCCCUACUUCUCAUUGUUUAAUAUGCUUAGAAAACCCAUUCAAAUUGUGAAUUAUCAAGUGAGCUUACACUGAUAAAUAGAUCCAAUAUUUAGGAAUUUUUAAAUCUUCCAUUCCUUUUUUUUUUUUGUCUUUUUAAAAAUAGAACAUUAGAAUAUGUCCUCCAGGUUUUAGAGAUGGGGGAGACAUGCUUCCCUUUAUUUCUCAGUAACUCAGCCAAAAAAAAUCUGGAGAGAAUGCAAAGACAGCUACUGGAAACUUUGAAAAGUAGAUGUGAGCCCAUCAGGGAAGAGCUAGAGAAUCUGAAAUCUACUCGAAAAAGUGAGUUUGAUACUUUGUGUUCCUAUCCUAACUCCACACAGCCUGAAACUUGGAAGUGAGCAUGAUGGAGUGGAUACAGUGAGAUGCAGAAGAAAUCCUCCAGUUUGGGCUGGAAGGGAAAAAAGAGACCCCUAAAACUCAGAGACAGUGGAAGAAAUUCCUGGUGUUUUUUUCUUCUCUUUUUCUCUGUUCUUCCACAUAGCAAUUUAGUAUUGACUACAGCAUCUCUGUUACAAUGAUAGCACCGAAAUGUUGUAACCAUAUGGCCUGCAAAGCCAAAAAUACUUAUCUGACCAUCUACAGGAAAAGUUUGCUGAUCUGGAUGAAAUAUUCUGAUACUAAAUAUUCCAUUUUGAGGCUGAUAUUCCUAAUCUAUUCAUAAGGAUGGCAUAUCUACCCAGUGGGCCUGCUGGGACUCCAGUUACCCGAUGCACAUACAUUGCUUGGUGGUCAGUAAAUAUUAUUUUGCUUUCUUUAUUCCUUUGUGGAAAAAUUUCAGGUAGAGAAGAAACCUGAAAUAAUUUGAAGAACUUUAAAAUUUUUUUCACCCACUAAUUUAUAUUCUCAUUAGCAAAAAGAACCGAAUAUUGGUAGCUCUAUACUUUAUAAUAAAGAUGUGGAACUUCUUGAU